rnacentral:rRNA from 1 species
UACGUAGGGGGCAAGCGUUGUCCGGAAUCAUUGGGCGUAAAGAGCGUGUAGGCGGCUUGGUAAGUCCGCUGUGAAAGUCCAGGGCUCAACCCUGGAAUGCCGGUGGAAACUGUCAAGCUUGAGUCCGGAAGAGGCGAGUGGAAUUCCUGGUGUAGCGGUGAAAUGCGCAGAUAUCAGGAGGAACACCAAUGGCGAAGGCAGCUCGCUGGGACGGUACUGACGCCUGAGACGCGAAAGCGUGGGGAGCAAACAGG